UACAGAGGUCCCAAGCGUUGUUCGGAUUCAUUGGGCGUAAAGGGUGCGUAGGCGGCGCGGUAAGUCGGAUGUGAAAUCUCGGAGCUUAACUCCGAAACUGCAUUCGAUACUGCCGUGCUUGAGGACUGGAGAGGAGACUGGAAUUCAUGGUGUAGCAGUGAAAUGCGUAGAGAUCAUGAGGAAGACCAGUGGCGAAGGCGGGUCUCUGGACAGUUCCUGACACUGAGACACGAAGGCCAGGGGAGCAAACGGG
rnacentral:rRNA from 1 species